CAUGCUUUAACAUGCAGUCGAACGGUAGCGGGGAAGAAGCUUGCUUCUUCUGCCGACGAGUGGCGAACGGGUGAGUAAUAUAUCGGAACGUGCCAAGUAAUGGGGGAUAACUAUCCGAAAGGAUGGCUAAUACCGCAUACGCUCUACGGAGGAAAGCAGGGGAUCUUCGGACCUUGCGUUAUUUGAGCGGCCGAUAUCUGAUUAGCUAGUUGGUGGGGUAAGAGCCUACCAAGGCAACGAUCAGUAGCGGGUCUGAGAGGAUGAUCCGCCACACUGGGACUGAGACACGGCCCAGACUCCUACGGGAGGCAGCAGUGGGGAAUUUUGGACAAUGGGCGAAAGCCUGAUCCAGCCAUGCCGCGUGUAUGAAGAAGGCCUUAGGGUUGUAAAGUACUUUUGUUAGGGAGGAAAAGCUAUAGGUUAAUACCCUGUAGUCAUGACAGUACCUAAAGAAUAAGCACCGGCUAACUACGUGCCAGCAGCCGCGGUAAUACGUAGGGUGCAAGCGUUAAUCGGAAUUACUGGGCGUAAAGCGAGUGCAGGCGGUUUGUUAAGCUAGAUGUGAAAGCCCCGGGCUCAACCUGGGAAUUGCGUUUAGAACUGGCAAGCUAGAGUGUGUCAGAGGGGGGUAGAAUUCCACGUGUAGCAGUGAAAUGCGUAGAGAUGUGGAGGAAUACCGAUGGCGAAGGCAGCCCCCUGGGAUAACACUGACGCUCAUACUCGAAAGCGUGGGUAGCAAACAGGAUUAGAUACCCUGGUAGUCCACGCCCUAAACGAUGACAAUUAGCUGUUGGGGAAUUAAAAGUCCUUGGUAGCGUAGCUAACGCGUGAAAUUGUCCGCCUGGGGAGUACGGUCGCAAGAUUAAAACUCAAAGGAAUUGACGGGGACCCGCACAAGCGGUGGAUGAUGUGGAUUAAUUCGAUGCAACGCGAGAACC
rnacentral:rRNA from 1 species